CCUACGGGAGGCAGCAGUGGGGGAUAUUGCACAAUGGGGGAAACCCUGAUGCAGCGACGCCGCGUGUGGGAAGACGGUCCUCUGGAUUGUAAACCACUGUCCCCAGGGACGAAGAUGACGGUACCUGGGGAGGAAGCUCCGGCUAACUACGUGCCAGCAGCCGCGGUAAUACGUAGGGAGCGAGCGUUGUCCGGAAUUACGGGGGGUAAGGGGAGCGUAGGCGGGGGUGAAAAUUGGGGGUCAAAACUACCGGCGCAACUGGUAGACGCACACAAAACUGCAGCUCUUGAGUGAAGUAGAGGCAGGCGGAAUUCCUAGUGUAGCGGUGAAAUGCGUAGAUAUUAGGAGGAACACCAGUGGCGAAGGCGGCCUGCUGGGCUUUUACUGACGCUGAGGCUCGAAAGUGUGGGGAGCAAACAGGAUUAGAUACCCCAGUAGUC
rnacentral:rRNA from 1 species